rnacentral:rRNA from 1 species
GUGGGGAAUAUUGCACAAUGGGGGAAACCCUGAUGCAGCGACGCCGCGUGAGCGAAGAAGUAUUUCGGUACGUAAAGCUCUAUCAGCAGGGAAGAUAAUGACGGUACCUGACUAAGAAGCCCCGGCUAACUACGUGCCAGCAGCCGCGGUAAUACGUAGGGGGCAAGCGUUAUCCGGAUUUACUGGGUGUAAAGGGAGCGUAGACGGCAAGGCAAGUCUGAUGUGAAAACCCAGGGCUUAACCCUGGGACUGCAUUGGAAACUGUCUGGCUCGAGUGCCGGAGAGGUAAGCGGAAUUCCUAGUGUAGCGGUGAAAUGCGUAGAUAUUAGGAAGAACACCAGUGGCGAAGGCGGCUUACUGGACGGUAACUGACGUUGAGGCUCGAAAGCGUAGGGAGCAAACAGGAUUAGAUACCCCAGUAGUCC